rnacentral:rRNA from 1 species
CAGCCGCCGCGGUAAUACGAGGGGGGCAAGCGUUGUUCGGAAUUACUGGGCGUAAAGCGUGCGCAGGCGGUUAUAUAAGACAGAUGUGAAAUCCCCGGGCUCAACCUGGGAACUGCAUUUGUGACUGUAUAGCUAGAGUACGGCAGAGGGGGAUGGAAUUCCGCGUGUAGCAGUGAAAUGCGUAGAUAUGCGGAGGAACACCGAUGGCGAAGGCAAUCCCCUGGGCCUGUACUGACGCUCAUGCACGAAAGCGUGGGGAGCAAACAGGAUUAGAUACCCCCGUAGUCCCUGUCUCUUAUAC